GACGAACGCUGGCGGCGUGCUUAACACAUGCAAGUCGAACGGUGAAGCCCUUCGGGGUGGAUCAGUGGCGAACGGGUGAGUCACACGUGAGCAACCUGCCCCUGGCUCUGGGACAACCACUGGAAACGGUGGCUAAUACCGGAUACGACCCGCCUCGGCAUCGAGUGUGGGUGGAAAGUUUUUCGGCUGGGGAUGGGCUCGCGGCCUAUCAGCUUGUUGGUGAGGUGAAGGCUCACCAAGGCGACGACGGGUAGCCGGCCUGAGAGGGCGACCGGCCACACUGGGACUGAGACACGGCCCAGACUCCUACGGGAGGCAGCAGUGGGGAAUAUUGCACAAUGGGCGAAAGCCUGAUGCAGCGACGCCGCGUGAGGGAUGACGGCCUUCGGGUUGUAAACCUCUUUCAGCUCCGAAGAAGCGAAAGUGACGGUAGGAGCAGAAGAAGCACCGGCUAACUACGCG
rnacentral:rRNA from 1 species